rnacentral:rRNA from 1 species
CCUACGGGUGGCAGCAGUGAGGAAUAUUGGUCAAUGGGCGAGAGCCUGAACCAGCCAAGUCGCGUGAGGGAGUACUGCCCUAUGGGUUGUAAACCUCUUUUGUCGGGGAGCAAAAGCCGGACGUGUCCGGCUGUGAGAGUACCCGAAGAAAAAGCAUCGGCUAACUCCGUGCCAGCAGCCGCGGUAAUACGGAGGAUGCGAGCGUUAUCCGGAUUUAAUGGGUUUAAAGGGUGCGCAGGCGGAUUUUUAAGUCAGCGGUCAAAGCGUGGGGCUCAAACCCAUCCAGCCGUUGAAACUGGGGCUCUAGAGUGUGCGAGAGGUAUGCGGAAUGCGUGGUGUAGCGGUGAAAUGCAGAGAUAGCACGCAGAACCCCGAUUGCGAAGGCAGCAUACCGGUGCACAACUGACGCUCAGGCACGAAAGCGUGGGUAUCGAACAGGAUUAGAUACCCCAGUAGUC